GUCAGAGGCGAUGAAAGACGUAGUAACUUGCGAUAAGCCCAGAUUAGGUAGUAACAACCAUUUGAGUCUGGGAUUUCUGAAUGGGGAAACCCACUUACAUAAGUAAGUAUCAUUAACUGAAUACAUAGGUUAAUGAGGCGAACCGGGGGAACUGAAACAUCUAAGUACCCCGAGGAAAAGAAAUCAACCGAGAUUCCGAAAGUAGCGGC
rnacentral:rRNA from 1 species